AAUUUCUUAAUCACUUUAAUCCUGCUGUGAUUUUGUCUUGCUGCUCCAUUUGUUCAAUGCAGUUCUCGUCUACUAAUAUGUUAGCAUGGAUUAGCACUGGUUUUUAGUGUUCUUUUCAUGUAGAUACAGUCAGUAAAUUAUCAAUUGGUUCUAGCAAAUCAAAUAAGUAGUGGGAGUCUGAUUGAGCUAAUAUUGGAUGCGCCUUGAUAG
rnacentral:misc_RNA from 1 species